rnacentral:rRNA from 1 species
GACCUCAAAUCAGGUAGGACUACCCGCUGAACUUAAGCAUAUCAAUAAGCGGAGGAAAAGAAACUAACAAGGAUUCCCCUAGUAACUGCGAGUGAAGCGGGAAAAGCUCAAAUUUAAAAUCUGGUAGUCUUUGGCUGCCCGAGUUGUAAUCUAGAGAAGCGUUAUCCGCGCUGGACCGUGUAUAAGUCUCCUGGAAUGGAGCGUCAUAGAGGGUGAGAAUCCCGUCUUCGACACGGACUCCCAGGGCUUUGUGAUGCGCUCUCAAAGAGUCGAGUUGUUUGGGAAUGCAGCUCUAAAUGGGCGGUAAAUUCCAUCUAAAGCUAAAUAUUGGCGAGAGACCGAUAGCGAACAAGUACCGUGAGGGAAAGAUGAAAAGAACUUUGGAAAGAGAGUUAAACAGUACGUGAAAUUGUUGAAAGGGAAACGCUUGAAGUCAG